UGAUAUUGCUUGUAAAUAUGGGCUCAAUGCAAAAACUUUAAAACGGUACCGGAAAAAUGCGGACUCUAUUUGGCAAUUGGCGACCAACGCAAGACACCUUGGUAUGAGUAGAUAACGGGUACCGAUAUAUGCAAAUUACAUACAAAGCAAAAGAAAUUGUUGCACAAUGUGGCAGCAUAUCGACGUUUAAAGGUAGCCGAAGUUGAUUGUGGAAUUGGUAAAAGAAAUACAAUGAACACCUCGUACAGGAAAACACUCGAUUCCAAUGAAACAGCUGCAAACAAUUUUAUAUAUGAACUUUCACGAUUAUUAAUAGACAAAGAUGAUAAUGUGUAUAACAUAGAUGGAACCAGACUGUUUUGGAGAUGUCUGCCGCCAAAUUUUUUAAGCAAAAGAAAAAAAACACGUCAAAGUGAAUACAGGAAAAGAAAAACAAGUGACUUUAGUCAUAUGUGCGAAUGCCAGCGACAUAUAUAAGUCGAUAUUUAUAAGUACAAACUAUUGAAACAGCACGGGGACACGUUAACCGCGAAAUACAUAAUAAAAGUCAGUCUAAUGAUUGGUUAAAUGAGCAUAUAUUUCGAAAAUGGUACAAUAAUGGUUUUAAAAAAAUAGUUAGCUGCAGCUGCAACAGUAUCGUGCGGGGACAAUUGUGUUGAUCAUUGAUAACUUAAAAGCGCAUAAACUUAAAGAACAUGAAAUGGACGAUGGAUAUUUUAAAUUAAUAUCUUUAUCUACUAAUGCAUAUGCGUUAAUGCAACUAAUGGGUCAAGGUAUAAUUGCUAAACUGAGGAUAUUUUUUGGCAUAAAUUGCUUAUGGGGGUAUGUUAUACACGUAAUAAUAGUACGUAAUAUACUUUAUUUGGUUUGACUUUCCAAAAUAUUCAUUCUUCACGGGUAAUCGAAUGUAAUGAACGGGUUAAUAAAUUUAACGCUAAUUAUAAUAUCGAAGAUUGUAUUCA